GCUCCAAACACUCGAACUGCAUACAAGGGAAUGGUCCAAACACUCGAACUGCAUACAAGUGAAUGCUCCAAACUCUCGAACUGCAUACAAGUGAAUGCUCCAAACUCCCGAACGGCAUACAAGAGAAUAAGGUAGCACUCCAAAUACACGAACAGGAACCAUACGAAUUGCUGCUACCAGACGAAUAGAAAAAGCAUCCAAGCGGCUUACAC